AUUGAACGCUGGCGGCAGGCCUCACACAUGCAAGUCGAGCGGAGCGGCGGACGGGUGAGGCAUGCCUAGGACUCGGCCUGGUAGUGGGGGCUAACGUCCGGGAACGGGCGCUAUUACCGCAUACUAGCAGAUGAGCAUAGGGCGGAUUAGCUAGUUGGUGGGGUAAAGGCCUAACAAGGCGACGAUCCGUAACUGGUCUGAGAGGAUGAUCAGUCACACUGGAACUGAGACCCGGUCCAGAAUCGUACGGGAGGAAGCAGUGGGGAAUAUUGGACAAUGGUCGAAAGCCUGAUCCAGCCAUGCCGCGGGAGGGAAGAAGGUCUUCGGAUUGUAAAGCACUUUAAGUUGGGAGGCGUUACCAACAGAAUAAGCACCGGCUAACUUCGUGCCAGCAGCCGCGGUAAUAC
rnacentral:rRNA from 1 species